UAUAAUGUGUGUGCAUGUAUUUGUGUCUGUUGCUGUGUUUAGUUUAUCCCCUUUUUUCAUGUGGCUGUUGUUAUGACUUUGUCUGUUAUGUCCUGCUACUACUACAUGCUACUUGACUAUGUCUGGAAGCCAUGGCUGCUGCCCUCAACAUGCUAAACCGAAACCCUGACAAAUAAACUGAUACCAAUGAUUAACAUUGAUGGUGAUGGUGGCAAGGAUGCCUUCAUAAGGUGCCAUCCAGCAAGUCCCAGCCUGGAGCCAGAGGCUGGCACUGCACGUCAGAUGGGGGAGGAUCCAUGCAUCAGAAAGGUGGUUGAAGCAAGAAGGAAAGAGCUUCUGCAGACAGUGUUGCAAUUAGACACCUGACUUUUACUGCCAAAGGGACCAUCAGAGCACCUCUCCCUACCAUCUAUACCAGAAGAGUACGGACAAGGGCCCAAAAUGUUUUAAAGG